AAGUCGUAACAAGGUAUCCGUAGGUGAACCUGCGGAUGGAUCAUUACCAAUUUUAUAUAUUAGUGUUGUAUCUGUGACUACUCUGUUGCAGGUAUCAACUACUACUAUUAUGUAAACGUUGAACUAGAUCAAUUGGUGUGGAUUGCUUGGGAAUGGACGAAGCGACAAGCCUCUUCCGGACAGGCAAACCCCACACUGAUAACCUUUUCAAUAUACUAUACUAGUACAUACUACAAACAAACAAACAAAAAGCUAUAAUAGGACUUAUAAACAGGCUGAGUGGGUAAAAUCCUCGGCUUAUCAAUAUAACUAUUACAACUUUCAGCAAUGGAUCUCUAGGCUCUC
rnacentral:misc_RNA from 1 species